AUGAACGCUGGCGGCGUGCUUAACACAUGCAAGUCGAACGAAGCAUUUAGAACAGAUUACUUCGGUUUGAAGUUCUAUAUGACUGAGUGGCGGACGGGGUGAGUAACGCGUGGGUAACCUGCCUUGUACUGGGGGAUAGCAGCUGGAAACGGCUGGUAAUACCGCAUAAGCGCACAAUGUUGCAUGACAUGGUGUGAAAAAACUCCGGUGGUAUAAGAUGGACCCGCGUCUGAUUAGCUAGUUGGUGAGAUAACAGCCCACCAAGGCGACGAUCAGUAGCCGACCUGAGAGGGUGACCGGCCACAUUGGGACUGAGACACGGCCCAGACUCCUACGGGAGGCAGCAGUGGGGAAUAUUGCACAAUGGAGGAAACUCUGAUGCAGCGACGCCGCGUGAGUGAAGAAGUAAUUCGUUAUGUAAAGCUCUAUCAGCAGGGAAGAUAGUGACGGUACCUGACUAAGAAGCUCCGGCUAAAUACGUG
rnacentral:rRNA from 1 species